rnacentral:misc_RNA from 1 species
UCUUAUUAUCUAAAGUUUCUGUAAUACACGCAAUCUCUAAAAAGUAUUUAGAAUACCAGUUUUGACGAACGGCUAUCAUUCCUCGUGUUCGUUUUGUUUGGUAGGGUAAUCUUUGUUCCAAUUAUUUUAAGGUAUCUCACUAUUUCAAGACAUAUCUUUUAAGACACUACGUCCCAAAAUGGCGAAUUAAAUGUUUUGUUAAAAAGUUUGUAUCAAUCGAUAUGGUUGAAUAUCAUUAAAGCUCAGGGUGGUUAAAGUAUUGGACUUGUGUACCGAAGAUAAUAAGUUUGAAUCCCCCUGAAGCUUUUGUUCAUAUUCAAAUUGAAUUAAAUAUUUUUGAAAAUCAAUUUUUUAUAAUUAUCCAAAGUUGCAUAUUGUUUUGCCUAUUUCACAUAAACUUCAUUGCAUUAUGCUUUAUAUCAUAAUAGAGUAAUUUUAUUCAGAUUUUAAAAACCAUUUUAAGCUAUUAAAACAUUUAUUUAUCGAUAAACAAGUCAAAUGAAAGUGUCAUAUUGUAUAGGAAAAAGUACCUGUAAACAUUGAACGGAUUCAUUUAUUCUACAUGUACUUCAAACAGUUUAUGCUUUAUACAGUUUGAAACUGACGGCUUAAUAAAUGUUAUGCUCAUUAACUCCAAGGUCCCCCGUCUGUCACUACGUCAGCUACAGAUACAGCUUCAUAUCACAACCCAUCGACAAUCGCCACUGCAACUAGUAUUGGUGGCGGGUCUUCUCAUCCAAGCAUUAAACCGAUUAAAAAGAAUCUACACUUUCACUACGAGGAUGAUCACGAUGAUCACGCCACUCCCCUGUCAACCCUAGGGUUUUCUGUGCUUGGCUCAUUGUCCUCUCUCUGUAUUAUUGGUUGUGUUCUCUUUAUCUACUCGCGGUAAGUCUAGACGUAAACUCUUUGGGGUUGUUUUGACGAAUAGUUUAAAAAUAGAUAUAUUUAUUGUUUGUGUUCCUCUUGACGAAAGCGUUGUGUUCUGUGUUUGUCUUCAGGAAGAAGAAGUGGAAGUUCAGAAGUUCUCCCAAUGGUUCAAGGAUAAGACAGGCGUUUCUUCCUUGCGUUAAUGAAGAUCGUCAACAAGAAGUGGUUCAGGGCUCCGGUGACAUUGAACUCUCUAAUGUUAUUGCAGUACCAGUAUGUGGACGGGAAGAAGACGACAGUCCGUACUCUGAGAUCAGAUAUUCCCAGUUCAUCGGGGGAGCCAACGCAGGGGGUGCAUGUAUGAUCACAUCGUAUAACACAAUGCAUAAGUGUGACUCCGACAAACAUCAUUGCAAGUCAGAAAAACAGAACACUUACCAAAAGUCUAUAAAUAAAAAUGAAUACGAUCACGUCAAACUGAAAGUGAAAUCUUCAGACAUGGGGUCUGAGAGGAAUCUAAGUUUGACUCGCUACAGUGAUGAGGAAUAUGUUUCCCUUUUGAGCGAGCAAUCACUUGGUAAGGAAGUCCGACCGAAGGAUGGUUUGAAAUGUCAGAAUCUGACGCUCUCAAAACAUACGUCGAACGAUUUUACCGAGAUGGAAAAAGGGGAAGACAAAGCUUAUCGUCUAUUAACGGAAUAUAGCUUACAGAAAUUAGAAUUUGAAAUGGAAGUCGAAAUAGAUCAGCUUUCAGAAAAGACCACGCACCAUUUUAUAGACACUGACAAGCAGACUGGCCCCCAGAGUGACAACAGACCAUACAGCAUGGCUGGGGGACUGUCAGAGAACGAUUUAAGUAAAACAGUAGAUUUACCAAACAACACUAAUUCUGAAACCAAACACUUGUCAGACAACGAUUUAAGUGAAGUGGUUGCAGAUUCUGUAAAUCAACUAGACAUUGAUAUCCCUGGGAAAAGAGAAGACCAUGGUCAGACAAACACAAGACCAUACAGUAUUGCAAAAAUACCCGAGUUCUAAUCAAAAGGCAUAUAAUUGUACGGGGAAAAUUAACAUUGCACUCUGAAUGGUGAUGCAGUAAUCAAAGAUUAUUAAAUAAUAAUGACUUGUUUUCUAUUUGACAACGUUUGGUUAGAAGUUACAUGUAUUUCUUUGAAAGUUUAAAAGAUGAAUGAUAGGUAUGAAAUAAAUACAAAUAAAUAUCAAACAAAAGAAA